UGAAGCUAGGCAUCAGCCCU
rnacentral:misc_RNA from 1 species